UACAGAGGUGGCAAGCGUUGUUCGGAAUUACUGGGCGUAAAGGGCGCGUAGGCGGUUUCGUAAGUCCCGUGUGAAAGCCCCCCGGCUCAACUGGGGAACUGCACGGGAAACUGCGAGGCUUGAGUUCGGGAGAGGGAAGCGGAAUUCCGGGUGUAGCGGUGAAAUGCGUAGAUAUCCGGAGGAACACCGGUGGCGAAGGCGGCUUCCUGGACCGACACUGACGCUGAGGCGCGAAAGCUAGGGGAGCAAACAGG
rnacentral:rRNA from 1 species